AAAACACAAUUCGAAAAUGAACUCCAGCAUUAUUCUGGGAAAGACAAGGGGAAUCUAUGGAAGCUGGUCAUUCUUCCUAGCUCAGACCUGGAGUAGGAUGAUUGGGCUUCCCAAGGGUGGCAGCACCAGCAAGGCUGGCAGCAACUAUCUCCUGUGGAAAGUCAAGUCCGUGCUUGCUGGGUGCUCCAAGGGAGUUAACUGGAGUCAACAGUGGCCUCCCUGAACUCUGUGGAAAAGACAAGUUGCAUACGCUUCUUCUAUUACAGUGUUCAGUGUUUGGAAAUGAGCAGUCUUGCAUUGUUAUGCAAACGCCAAGGUACAGCUGAAGGACUGUGGCCAGUAGAUUCACAGUUGUGUGAUCCUUGGACUUUUAGAUCUACCAGGCAGGCAGUGGUAAAGUGCAUUUUAUCACAGUGUGUCCAGGAGACAUUUGAUGGAGCAGAACCCAGCUCUCUGCAUCUGAGCCGGAUCUCCUUGCCAGAGCUCUGCAAGAAUGAUUUUUUGUUUCCGCCCCCACGUUGGCAAGAGAGUCUCAGGCAUCUGAAUGCAGCAGGAUAGGACACAUCUUGUAAAGAGGUAGAAAGAAAUCGAUUGCUUUGGUUUUCCGAUAGCACAAACCUGGCUGCAGAUCUGAAACAGAAUGAACUGGCAUUAGAGUGAUAGCAGGCCAGCCUGCCAACAGCACCCUUUCUCAUGACAGCAAGCUAAUGCUGGAAAUGGUCAGGACAAAGGUCUAAGUUCGUAAUCAACUGCAAACGUGGACUCUUCCCUUCGGAUAGCACUUGUUCUCCUCCAGCUGAAGCUAUACUGGCCUCCCUUCAGCCAUGAAAACAUUCAGAUGUAAAAAAAAAAAAAAAGAUGCGUCUUGAACACUUAACCAUAAAAAGAAAAGGACAAGAAUGGAUGUUUUCUUAGCAACUACAGUGCUGGAUCAUCACAUAUCUCAUCUGAUCUUAACACAAGUACUCUGUGAGGCAGAGCUGAACUGUAGGCAGAUUAGCCAGACAACUGGCCAGAAUACCAAGCUACGAGUUGGUCUAAACAACCUUGGAUUUCCACAUGUGACUCCUCACAUACCCGGCCAAAUGGAAAUUGGCUCCACUUCUGAUUCACUGGGAAAAGCUAGAAGUGGAAGGAUCAGGCAGCUUAUUAUAAGAGCGAGUUAUCAUUACUUCCUUCACUACUUGACUCCUUACAGGGUUAAUGGGGAUGCUUCAAAGGUUUUGCCAUAAAGCAUGAUGGUUUGGUUUGAAAUACAUCUUUACAAAAAAAAAAAAGACAAGACAACAACAAGUUGAGGCCUGAAUGAUCGGAGAAGCCAGCCACACAAAGAGGCAGGGGAAGAGCAUUUCGUUAGUGGUGACUUUCAUUAGUAAAGGGUGUCCAUGUGAUCUAACAGCCUAAUCACAUGCAGCUGAAAUUCUUUUAUUUCACUACUGGGAAAGAGCCUCUCUCCCCUUUUGGAUGUGCUAAGGAAGACUGCAACUCCAGUUACUUCUGAAAGCCUUGUGACUAAGGUUACCCACAGCUGGGCUGCCUUGGGAGAUUUUUACCUUUGGAUCUGAGUACAGAUACUUCCAUCAAUAUUCUAUUUCCCAAAGUCCCCUGGAAAUAGGAGGUGUGGCAUACCACGCAGGGCCACAGGGGAAGCACAGAGGAGAGAUGAGCAGGUGGAGAGAGACAGGGGCCUAGUGGACUGCGGUUUCCACAGGAAGAAGGAGGUGAAGAAAGGCAUGGAAAUUCUUUUGAAAGACUCUUGGGAAGGGAGUGAUAAAGGAAGCAGGAGAUGAACUCCUAAAGUUUACUUUGAAGAGUUUCUAUUUAAAAAUUUUUUUUUUCAACAUUUUAUUUUUUUCCUUUUUCUCCCCAAAGUCCCCCGGUACGUAGUUGUAUAUUCUUCGUUGUGGGUCCUUCUAGUUGUGGCAUGUGGGACGCUGCCUCAGCGUGGUUUGAUGAGCAGUGCCAUGUCUGCGCCCAGGAUUCGAACCAACGAAACACUGGGCCACCUGCAGCGGAGCGCGCAAACUUAACCACUCAGCCACGGGGCCAGCCCCAUGAAGAGUUUCUAUUUUUGAAACCAUAUCCAAAUUAUCAGUGCUUUGAAAAAUAUCACAUGAGUUAAAGUAAAUUGGCCUGGUUAAAACAGAAAAAAAGACCAUCAAUAAUUGAAUUUUUGAAUACAACUUGAAAAUAUGCCUAACAGUCAUAGAGAUUCCUUGUGCUCUCAGCUGUUCAGGAGGACAAUAAACUGAUGGGCAAAGCAAAAGAGAAAUCUAGAAGAUGAUAUAAAAAAUACAAAAUUGCUAUGCUAUACUGCUUCAGCUAAGCCUCCAGAGUGACUCCCGUCAGGUGGCACAGAGGAAGCAUAUCGUGGUGUUCUACAAACAGAAGCUAUCCAAGGUUACAGGGUCACACAAUGGGAAAAGUCGGCCACCUUAAAUUGUGAAGUAGAAAAUAGGAUAUUCCUUCCUUUACCAACAUUUGAUUGCCUGUUGUUGGGGGAGUCCAACCUGUAAGAUCUCUCUCCUUUCUCACACUGAGUUGGAGGAUGGGCCUAACUUUUGCCUCUGGGUUCCUCUGUAGACCAAGAAAGUGAGUAGAAGUCCAAUGGUGAUGUAAAAGUGGUUCUGGAAUUUUCAGAAUACACAGGUCAAGGAAGGCCACUGUGGAGAGAUGAUAUAUGAACGAGACAUAAAGGUGGCAAACAGACAAGCCAUGGGAAUAUCUGGGGGCAAAGCAUGCCAUGCAGAAGGACCUAUAGGACAAUGGCUUUGAGGCUGUCAUAUACCUGGUAUAUUUGAGCAAUUGUGGGGAGGGCAGCAUAGCAGGUGGGGAGUGAGGGACAUGGAUAAUGGUAGGAAAUUACUUAAGAGGAGUAGGUCGGUGUAAGACGGUAUAGACCAUGAUAAGGACAAAGAAUUUUAUUGAAAAGUCUAUUUUUUUCCACUGAUUUGUGGUGCUUCCUCGGUUCUAUGUUGAGUUCAUAUAUGCGUGAGUCUGUUUCUGGUCUCUAUCUGUUCUACAUCUCUAUUUGUCUAUUCUUACGUUAAUACCACAUUGUCUUAAAUAUUUUGGCUUUAGAAUAAAUCUUGAUAUUUGAUAUUACAAAUAUUCUUAUCUUGUUCUUUUUCUUCAAGGAGGUCUUGAAGACAUUGCACUUUUGUAUAAAUUUUAAAACUAACUUGUUGAGGGGGCUGGCUCCGUGGCACAGGUUAAGUGCACAUGUUCUGCUUCUCGGUGGCCUGGGGUUCACUAGUUUGGAUCCUGAGUGUGGACAUGGCACUGCUUGGCAAAAGUCAUGCUGUGGUAGGCAUCCCACGUAUAAAGUAGAGGAAGAUGGGCAUGGGUGUUAGCUCAGGGCCAGUCUUCCUCAACAAAAAGAGGAGGUUUGGCAGUAGUUAGCUCAGGGCUAAUCUUCUUCUUCUUAAAAAAAACUAACUCGUUGAGAUCAGCAGCUACGACAACAACAAUAAAAAUUGACUGGGAUUUAGUUGGGAAUAAAUUGAAACCAUAAAUUGAUUUGAGAAGAACUGAAAUCUUUAAAAUAGUGAGUCUUCAAUCCAUAAAUAUAGUACCUCACCAUUUAUUGUCUUCUUUAAUAUUUCUCAGUAAAGUUUUCUAAGUUUCCUUGCAGAGGUCUUACAUGUUGUUUU
ensembl:lncRNA